UACGUAGGGUGCGAGCGUUAAUCGGAAUUACUGGGCGUAAAGCGUGCGCAGGCGGUUUUGUAAGCCAGAUGUGAAAUCCCCGGGCUUAACCUGGGAAUGGCAUUUGGGACUGCAAGGCUUGAGUGCGGCAGAGGAGACUGGAAUCCUGGUGUAGCAGUGAAAUGCGUAGAUAUCAGGAGGAACACCGAUGGCGAAGGCAGGUCUCUGGGCUGACACUGACGCUCAUGCACGAAAGCGUGGGGAGCAA
rnacentral:rRNA from 1 species